ACGGGGAGGCAUGACCAAUGGGAAGCUUUGGAGGACCGGAAGGAAGGCUGGUCCUCCUACCAAAGCAUCCCCUCAUUGUCUGAAUGCGGAAGUUGGAUCAUGAGCUCCUGCUGCUCUCUCUCUCUGAAUGAAGAUUGAGUGUUACCCCAGACUGCACCACCCUCUGCUUUCACAGGAGGAUUUACCUGCAUAUCUUGAACUAAUUGCCUCAGCCAGCUUGACUCAUUGGGACUGGAAUUUUAUCCAUCUUUUGAGUGGAGAAGGAGGAUUGUCCCGCCUGCUUCCAGAGAUCUGACUGGUAAAGCACUGAGAUGCCGCUGUUCGAGGGUGGAGGGAGCUUUACCGGAGCGGAGAGUUAGCCAGCCGGCCACCCGCAGCAGAGUGGGACGUCAGAGGGAGCGUCGAACCUGGAGGGAGCCCGCGCCGUGGGGAAACCGUGGAAGUGUGGGGAAUGCGGGAAGGGGUUUCGAGUCCCCUCUGAGCUGGAGAUCCACCGGCGCGGUCACACCGGGGAGAGGCAGUUCUCCUGCCCCGAGUCCGGGAAGGCCUUCAUUGGGUCCUCCAAGCUGCUGAGGCACCGGCGGGUCCACACCGGGGACAGGCCGUACCCCUGCCCCGAGUGUGGCAAGGCCCUUCACCCAGCUGUCCCACCUGCAGACGCACCGGCGCCUCCACACACCAGGGAGAGGCCUCUCACCUGCCCCGGGGGCGGCAAGGCCUUCAAUCGAUCGCCGACCCUGCGGACGCACAGGCGCCUUCCCAACGUGACCGCACGGAGUUGAAGUCUGCAGCGAAUCCCACCCAGGACUGGGGGGGGAUCGUGCCCGUGGGGGGGAUUGUGCCCCGUUCGAAGACAGUGGGUGAAGCGGGAAGGGAGCGAGGCUUCCUUUCUACCGGACUGGCCGCUCUCGCUCCCUUUGCUUCCCGUGGGACCGAUGCUGUUUGAGGCUGGGACUGCACGUUCCCCGGGCCAAAGAUCUGCAGGAGCUGAGGAAGUGCACUCCUUUCACACCGGAUGGUAAAUCAUGUUUGUCCCAUCUAUUUCAGUCUUAAAUACCCUCCGUGACCUGGCCUCCCAGCCUCCUGUGGCAGUGAAUUCCACAGAUUCCCCACUCUCUGUCUGAAGAGGUUUCUCCUUAUCUCCGUUCUAAAAGGUCUAAGGCUGUGCCCUCGGCUCCUGGUCUCUCCUACCAAUGGAAACAUCUUCCCAAUGGCCACAGAUAGAUCAAAGUCAAAUACAAUAGCCUCUAUUCCAUUGAGUGUCCAGCACACUUUACAACACUUUGUAAAAUCAGGAGUGCCAUUGAUGAGGUGAGUGGCAGGUGUCUUUUCCCGAUAGAAUAAAGAAUAUUCCAGCACAGGAACAGGCCCUUCGGCCCUCAUGGGUUCAAAUACCAGUAAAAACAAACAUUGGGGAAAUUAAAUUUAAAUUUUUUUAAAAA